GCAAGGGGUUAUGGUUUCCAGGGAGCUUGGACAACUUAGGUGAAUAGUUUGGGAGCCCUCAGGUGAUGGUGUCCUGCAUGCGCUGGGGCUCCUUUGCAAUAUGGGGUGUACCUGGCAUCCAAAGGGAAGGCUGCAUGAGCUGGUUCUCCAGGCACCACUUCACCACAGAACUGAGAGGAAUCUGAAAAUACUAAAUUCAAGCCCAGCCUUUAAGGCAUUUGUCAAGAUAGGAGGAGACACAUUUUCCUGGGAAGACUUGUUACAGAUUUAUUGCAUUAAAUACUCAGACCUGCUGUGUGCGCUGUUCCAUCCGUCCCUGCCCCGCAGAUGUGAGGGGCCAGAGGCUCUCAGAGUUACCGUGGGGACCAAAGUGGCUGGCAGGGACCAAAGUGACUGCCCCCUCUGCCUAGCCACAUGCAUGAAUAUUUGCACUCUCCCAGCUGGGUUUCUUAGACAAGAGGCUGCUCUAAAGCGGGACGAGGUCUGUGGUGUCUCAUAUUUGAACAAAAUGAAUUGUAAUUGUGAUAUUUACAAUUUAUAGCCAUGUCAUGUCCGGGUAUAGGAAUCUGAGGCUGGGCCACCCAGUUUUCAAACUCCCAUGUCUGCUCUUCUCUGACUACGUCUGUCUUCUCUCAGUCACCUUAUCUGGAGGCGCCACUGGGUUUGGCUCCCUAUCAGGGUGGGGAGCUCUGGUCCUUGGGAUAGUAGAGUCGCCCUUGAGAAAUGAGGCCAACUCCUGCUGUCAGCAUCAGCUUUCCUGUGGGUGAUGAGGGAUGUAUGGUCCCUGCCCUUGGCAUGAUCUCUGCCGUCUGUGUCCCUGGGAGGGGGGCUAUGUGCCCCAGAAAACCGAGGCAGGACGUGCAAAGGCAGACAUUUCACCUCCAGUCCAAGUCAUUUUUAGCCUCGGUUUACAGGGCUCUCCUUCCGGACCACACAGGAGUCCUUCUGUACCAGCGUGCCCUGCUGAGUCGCUCAGGCGGAAGAUGGCAGGUGUGAUGCGUGACCUCUUUAUGAAAGCUCAUUCCAAAUGCUCACAGAACUUCCCCCCUUUCCUUUAUGAUUUCAGGCAGCUGUCUCCUCU